rnacentral:rRNA from 1 species
CCUACGGGAGGCAGCAGUGAGGAAUAUUGGUCAAUGGACGAGAGUCUGAACCAGCCAAGUAGCGUGAAGGAUGACUGCCCUAUGGGUUGUAAACUUCUUUUAUAUGGGAAUAAAACGUUCCACGUGUGGGAUUUUGUAUGUACCAUAUGAAUAAGGAUCGGCUAACUCCGUGCCAGCAGCCGCGGUAAUACGGAGGAUCCGAGCGUUAUCCGGAUUUAUUGGGUUUAAAGGGAGCGUAGGUGGAUUGUUAAGUCAGUUGUGAAAGUUUGCGGCUCAACCGUAAAAUUGCAGUUGAAACUGGCAGUCUUGAGUACAGUAGAGGUGGGCGGAAUGCGUGGUGUAGCGGUGAAAUGCUUAGAUAUCACGAAGAACUCCGAUUGCGAAGGCAGUUCACUGGACUGCAACUGACACUGAGGCUCGAAAGUGUGGGUAUCAAACAGGAUUAGAGACCCUAGUAGUC